rnacentral:lncRNA from 1 species
GUUACUACAAAACCCUGCCUAUUCUUGAGAGGGCACUUGAAUAUGCAGUUAUGAAUUUUAUAAUGGGGCGGCCAAGUAAGCGGGUAAGAUCAUCUCUGUGAUUGUAGAUUGUUAUAGCAUAUAUGUUCAUAUUUUCUCAUUGACAUACUCUUCUCCGUUGUCCAAGUGGCUAGAAUAUUCUCAGAUAAUAAAUAGCAUGGACUACUUACAAGCAGAUUCUCUACCAACGAGAUCUUCUAAAAACCUUAUUCAGAUGGAACUUUUUUCAAGAAUACAGCUUAGCUUAGUCAACCCUCCACAAAUAGAUGGGAAAGCCCAAGCAACUCGACAGCUUCCUAAAGACCUACUGAGAUGUGUGAAUGGCCACAAAUCCCGUUGGAUGUCCUACACAUAAUAUUUGUAGAAUAAGAAAUAACCCCUCAGCUCCAGGGAUGACACCAUUUCAGACCAUUACAAGCUUUACAGAUUUAGUAGGCAAUUGACUACCAAUUCCUACCAAAUGACCUCACUAAAACCCAAAAUGGAAUGAAACUUCAAGCUGACCAAAGGCGUUCCUAACGAAGAAGCUGAAGUGGGUGAUUGGAUUUUCCUUUAUAUUACAAUUGAAAGGGCAGACAACCAUGGCUAUUAGAAGGACCCUUAAGCUAUACCAAAGUACUACUGUCGAAAAACGAGGGACAUACGGUCUUUCACGGGUCAAAAAUUAAAAAGAGAUUGAAGAUCACAUUGUUGCUUCAGUCGAGCUACUAGUGAGGACUUCCUUUUUAGUAAGGGAGCUAACAAUGUGCACUCGUAAUGGACAACCAUAAGUGAAACCCAUAGACGUACUCAAUCGAGAUUGAUUGCCAAGGAAUAUGCUGCAACAACGAAGUUUUGGUUACAAGAGAUAGCUAAAUUGGAGGAUUUCAACUUUUUAAUCCCCCAUUCCCGGAUUUCAAACCUUUCGGACAAGGUACAACCGAAGGAGGAGGGAAAGCAAAAUGAAGGAUCCAAUGAAGAGAUCGAAGGAUAGUAGUACCCAUGGUGGCAGUUAAGAAUGAAGCUUAAUUUCCGAACUUCCAAAUUUUGUCGUUUAGUCCCAUUUAAAAUUUUCCUCUUAUUUUAUUACCUCAUUGCAAGUUGUCGCAUGGAAUCAGUGCGGCCCAAAGUUUAGGGCUUUGGUUUAACAGCACCUGGGAGUUUGGUUUAACAAUACUGCAAAAUAUAUGAUAGGCGCAUGUUGCGAGUUUGGAUCUUGUUUAGUGAACCAAGACUAGUUUUUAUGCGGAGAGGCGUAGAAGGGCAAGUCUAUUUUUCACCAACUUUCGAGAAAGGAACUCCAUAAAAAGAAGACACUGGUUCUAAGAAGAAUAGCGAGACUAAUUGGUCCAGCAGUCUCAUCCAUUCGUCAAAGUCCUCCUAAGAAUUUCGCGACGGUGGCCUAUUAUCAUUGUUUCCUGGUGACCUAUGUUGACUACAGUGUGGUAUCCGAUAAAGAUGCAGAUCUAGAAGUCAAAUUCUCCAUCACAUAAAUUUUAGGAUUCGGGGAUAUGAUUAGAGUGCGGACAUGGGUGUUGUGAUACAACCAAUAAAUGCAUAUUACAACAUAUAAAGUAUAUAUUUCGACUAAUUAAGGUUAUAGAAUUAAAACUAACAAAAUGUAAUUCUUUAUACAUACCUAGGGGUCAUUUGGUUCAAGAGAUUAGGUAGGUUAUCUCGAUAUAAAUUUUGAGAUUAAAUUUAUCACAAGCUUAGUUGGAGGGAUAGUUAAAAUAACCAUUUUUUUAUACCAAAAUCUCGGUAUAACUUAUCCCAUACAGAGGUGGGAUAAGUUACCUAGGUUUAAAUCCUGGUUAUAAUCUAGAUAUCCUGGUUUUGAACUAGACGAUCCGC